GGAUCUUAGUGCCUGUUCAAUGCCAUUUCAGGCUGCUCUUGUCAAAGAUCCAGGUGUUUCUGUCAACCGUGUGAUUUGGAGUCCAGAUGGUGCUUUAUUCGGAGUUGCUUACUCAAGGCACAUUGUUC